AACGAACGCUGGCGGCGUGUCUUAAGCAUGCAAGUCGUGCGGCAAGGCGGGGCAACCCGCCCUAGAGCGGCGGACUGGUGAGUAACGCGUGGGUGAUCUGCCCUUGGGAUGGGGAUAGCCAUUAGAAAUAGUGGGUAAUACCGAAUACGUUCAGUAGGCCACGGUCUACUGAGGAAAAGCGCUUCGGCGCUGCCCGAGGAUGAGCCCGCGUCCCAUUAGCUAGUUGGUGAGGUAAGAGCCCACCAAGGCGAUGAUGGGUAGGCGGCCUGAGAGGGUGUACGCCCACACUGGGACUGAGAUACGGCCCAGACUCCUACGGGAGGCUG
rnacentral:rRNA from 1 species